rnacentral:rRNA from 1 species
UACGAAGGGGGCUAGCGUUGUUCGGAAUUACUGGGCGUAAAGGGCGCGUAGGCGGCUGGGCAAGUCAAAGGUGAAAUCCCUCGGCUCAACUGAGGAACUGCCUUUGAAACUGCCUGGCUUGAGGCCGGGAGGGGGUAGCGGAAUUCCCAGUGUAGCGGUGAAAUGCGUAGAUAUUGGGAGGAACACCAGUGGCGAAGGCGGCUACCUGGACCGGUUCUGACGCUGAUGCGCGAAAGCGUGGGUAGCAAACAGG